rnacentral:tRNA from 1 species
CCUUCGAUAGCUCAGUUGGUAGAGCGGAGGACUGUAGGGGAAAUCACUGUGGGUAUCCUUAGGUCGCUGGUUCGAAUCCGGCUCGAAGGA